rnacentral:rRNA from 1 species
UACGUAGGGGGCAAGCGUUGUCCGGAAUCAUUGGGCGUAAAGGGCGCGUAGGCGGCGCAACAAGUCAGUUGUGAAAUCUCUGGGCUUAACCCAGAGCGGUCAACUGAUACUGUCGUGCUAGAGUGCGGAAGGGGCAACUGGAAUUCUCGGUGUAGCGGUGAAAUGCGUAGAUAUCGAGAGGAACACCUGCGGCGAAGGCGGGUUGCUGGGCCGACACUGACGCUGAGGCGCGAAAGCUAGGGGAGCGAACGGG